rnacentral:rRNA from 1 species
UGCUGGAGGUAUCAGAAGUGCGAAUGCUGACAUGAGUAACGAUAAAGGGAGUGAAAAACUCCCUCGCCGGAAGAUCAAGGGUUCCUGUCCAACGUUAAUCGGGGCAGGGUAAGUCGACCCCUAAGGCGAGGCCGAAAGGCGUAGUCGAUGGGAAACGGGUUAAUAUUCCCGUACUUCUUAUAAUUGCGAUGGAGGGACGGAGAAGGCUAGGUGAGCCUGGCGACGGUUGUCCAGGUCCAAGUAUGUAGGCUGAUGGUUUAGGCAAAUCCGGACCAUCUUAAGGCUGAGAUACGAUGUCGAGCUACUACGGUAGUGAAGUCAUUGAUGCCAUGCUUCCGGGAAAAGCUUCUAAGCUUCAGAUUAUAAGAAAUCGUACCCCAAACCGACACAGGUGAUCAGGUAGAGAAUACCAAGGCGCUUGAGAGAACUCGGGUGAAGGAACUAGGCAAAAUGGUACCGUAACUUCGGGAGAAGGUACGCUCCUAGCGGUGAUGAGACUUGCUCUCUAAGCUGCCGGGAGUCGCAGAUACCAGGUGGCUGCAACUGUUUAUUAAAAACACAGCACUGUGCAAAAUCGAAAGAUGACGUAUACGGUGUGACGCCUGCCCGGUGCCGGAAGGUUAAUUGAUGGGGUUAGACUUCGGUCGAAGCUCUUGAUCGAAGCCCCGGUAAACGGCGGCCGUAACUAUAACGGUCCUAAGGUAGCGAAAUUCCUUGUCGGGUAAGUUCCGACCUGCACGAAUGGCGUAAUGAUGGCCACGCUGUCUCCACCCGAGACUCAGUGAAAUUGAAAUCGCAGUGAAGAUGCUGUGUACCCGCGGCUAGACGGAAAGACCCCGUGAACCUUUACUAUAGCUUGGCACUGAACAUUGACCCUACAUGUGUAGGAUAGGUGGGAGACGUUGAAGCAACCGCGCCAGUGGUUGUGGAGUCAAUCUUGAAAUACCACCCUUGUAUGCUUGAUGUUCUAACGUCGACCCCUUAUCGGGGUUACGGACAGUGCCUGGUGGGUAGUUUGACUGGGGCGGUCUCCUCCCAAAGAGUAACGGAGGAGCACGAAGGUGGGCUAAUCACGGUCGGACAUCGUGAGGUUAGUGCAAUGGCAUAAGCCCGCUUGACUGCGAGAAUGACAAUUCGAGCAGGUGCGAAAGCAGGUCAUAGUGAUCCGGUGGUUCUGAAUGGAAGGGCCAUCGCUCAACGGAUAAAAGGUACUCCGGGGAUAACAGGCUGAUACCGCCCAAGAGUUCAUAUCGACGGCGGUGUUUGGCACCUCGAUGUCGGCUCAUCACAUCCUGGGGCUGAAGUCGGUCCCAAGGGUAUGGCUGUUCGCCAUUUAAAGUGGUACGCGAGCUGGGUUUAGAACGUCGUGAGACAGUUCGGUCCCUAUCUGCCGUGGGCGUUGGAUGAUUGAGAGGGGCUGCUCCUAGUACGAGAGGACCGGAGUGGACGAACCGCUGGUGUUCGGGUUGUAUCGCCAGAUGCAUUGCCCGGUAGCUAAGUUCGGAAUCGAUAACCGCUGAAAGCAUCUAAGCGGGAAGCGAGCCUCAAGAUGAGUCAUCCCUAGACCUUUAAGGUCUCUAAAGGGUUGUUGAAGACUACAACGUUGAUAGGUCAGGUGUGUAAGUGCUG